GCCCGGGUGGCGGAAUUGGCAGACGCGCAUGGUUGAGGGCCAUGUGGGAGCAAUCCCGUGUGGGUUCAACUCCCGCCCCGGGCA
rnacentral:tRNA from 1 species